UUCCAUGUUUUUUCCUUACAUACUUCGUGUGUUGAAACUGCUAUCCAUUUUUUCAAAAAUGUCUCUUGCUCGUUUCGUCACAUGCGGAACACUUUCAGAACAAUUAAAACCAUUAUGGAAAUGAGGAUUACAUUUGUUAUUUUCAAGUUGGAAAACUUGACAACUACAUAUUCCUUUGUAAGAUUUAUCAAGCCAGGUGAAGUCUGCGCUUCUUUGUUGCAGUCUAAUGUGCACAUGGAUUGGUUGCAGUCAUCCAGCAAAAGGUGUGAUUAAACUGAGCUGUUGCAUGCAGUCUUUGGUGCCGAUGUUGUCCUGGAGUGUGGGGGAGUUCCAUGCUUCAAGUCUUAUGGGAUCAGCCAUAUCUGGUUGACGCUGGAUCAUGCUGCAUUUUGGUUGCCGAAAUGUUGGACAUCUAGUAGAACUGCAAGAAGACUUCUUGAAAUGCCAGGUGAAGUCUGCGCUUCUUUGUUGCAGUCUAAUGUGCACAUGGAUUGGUUGCAGUCAUCCAGCAAAAGGUGUGAUUAAACUGAGCUGUUGCAUGCAGUCUUUGGUGCCGAUGUUGUCCUGGAGUGUGGGGGAGUUCCAUGCUUCAAGUCUUAUGGGAUCAGCCAUAUCUGGUUGACGCUGGAUCAUGCUGCAUUUUGGUUGCCGAAAUGUUGGACAUCUAGUAGAACUGCAAGAAGACUUCUUGAAAUGGUUUAUGUUUACGUAGCAGUGAUGUUGCUGUCCAAUAUGGUCUGCUGUUGCAGCCUAUACUGGUGAAAGAUCUUUGCAUCGAGUUAAACUGUUGCUGUUCCUUGGUGUCGGACUGCUGGUGUUGUCGGUGUUGUGCACAAAAGUUACAUCCAGUUUUAAUUGUUAUUUGUGUCUAUACAGUUAACUGUUUACAUGUUGAAAAGGAACAGAAACGGUUCCUUGGUGUUGAAUCGCUGGUGUUGUGCUACAGAAGUUACAUCCAGUAUUUUGUUUAAUUGCCAUUUGCGUCUAUGAAGUUAACCGUUUAUAUGCUGAGAAUGAAAAAAAAAGUAAUACGGGGAAUUUUUACGUUGAACAAAUAAUAAACAUGCCUUCGCGAUUGGGAGAUCAACAGGGAGAUUGGGUGGGGGGUAUUUUUAUUUUCAUUAACUAGAAGUUGUGGUUUGUUUUAAUGAGUUAAUAAUAAAAUCCUUUGUUAAUCACAUCCAUAACCCACCUAUAAAUCCACUUCUAUUCCUCAAACCCCAUAAUAUUCACCAACAUCUAUUCCUUAAACCCCAAUUUCCCCACAAAUGUUUGUAAUAUGUAUAUACAGUUGUUGAAUAAAUAAAUCAUAAAUGUAACAAGUAAAAUCUAUUU
rnacentral:lncRNA from 1 species